AAAGUCGUAACAAGGUUUCCGUAGGUGAACCUGCGGAAGGAUCAUUAUCACGUAUCCACGUAUAAACCUGAGUAACUGUUUGUACCUCCUUUUGGUGGGUGAAGAUAGGGUUCAUUCUCUGUUUUUGCCUGCUGAGAGGUCGUAUUUAUUAACUCGUAAAACAUCAUUAUAACUCUGUACUAAUCAGUUUUUACUCUGGAAACGGAGACUAACUAAAUACGAAACAUAAGAACAACUCUUAGCAACGGAUAUCUUGGUUCUC
rnacentral:misc_RNA from 1 species